rnacentral:misc_RNA from 1 species
AAGUCGUAACAAGGUUUCCGUAGGUGAACCUGCGGAAGGAUCAUUAAAAGUGAUUGGGUUAUACAUUUCAUGUAUCAACCGCACUUAACCCAUUCCGAUGUACCUUGCCUGUUGCUUCCAUGGGGCCUGACCCUGACGGUCACUCUUGUGAUGUGGAACCCAAGAGAGUCCCCCAAUGGGAGGUAAAUCAUUAAAUUCAUGUAUCCAAUGUCUUCUGUCUGAACUGUUUAUAACAAAUGUUAAAA